UCCAUAUUUACCCUUGCUGGUAAUUGUGUUAGUCCUCACCACAUUUCCACUCCGUAUUUUUACUUUAUUGCAUUAGAGCAAACACGUACCUAUACCCAGUUCCUAGAACAGCUCAUGGCACAGAGUAGGUACUCAGAAAAUAUUUAUUGAAUAAAAGGAUGUUACAGAUGAAGAAACUGCAGACCCUAAGGGUGGAAAUGCCCUGCCCAGAGUCACAUCUCUAGCAGAAAGCAAAGUCAGGAUUUAAACCCAGGGCUAUCCAAUAGGAUAGAGUUCUUUCUUCCUGACUGUUUAGAUAGGCCUCUUUGUUGGUACAAAAAGAUGGAGAUUGAAGACCCAAAGGUCUUUAACAGAGCCGUAGACUGAGGUCCAGGAAAUGAGCGUUCUGGCCCAUCCUUGUGGAAUCCCUGUGUGGCCCUGGAAAAGCUGCUUCUCCAUUCAGAACCUGAGUUUCCUAAUGUGAAAGGUGAAGAGAUGAAAGUUGUGCUGUCUAAGGUUCCAGCGGCCCUCAGAAGCGUCUGCAAAGCUUUCUGGUUUGUCAUCUCUCAUGCUUACUUGGCGCUGGGGUCAGGCUUGACAGAGUAGCCAGUUCAACAGCCAAGCACUUGAGGAAAGCAGUCAUUUGUGUUUUAUCUCAAGGUGCACAAACAUUCAAGGAUGACAUAGCCCCAAGUCAGAAAAUUCCCUGAAAUGAAAGUUGGAGAGAGAAAAGAAAGAAAAAGAAAGUAGAGACAAUUGGGGGGGUGGGGGUGGGGGAGAGCUCUGAUUGCAACCUGCGUUGAUGCAGCACAUAAUCUGAAACAGGCGCUCAGGUUCAUAACUGUGCCCAGAUCUGAUCCCUGGCACAUAAGAGCAAAGCCUUUAAAAAAAAAACAAAACCAAAAAAAAGGUGUGCAUCUUUAAAGCCUCUCUUCUGCUAUGUGAUAUUUUUGUACCCCUUUGGAGGUUGUGUCGCUGGGGCGUUUGCAUCCAGCAAAGGCUUUCUUCCUCCUUCCUGGCUUGGGGAUUAUUGAUUUGGAAGGCGAGGCUAAUUUACAUGUAAAUAAAUCUCAGCGCUGGGCAGAGGGGACGGGACAUCCAGAUGCCGUGACUGACUUGCUGACGUCACGGCUUCAUUAGCAUGCGGAGGAUGCGAGCACUGCAACAGCGACUUCGGCACCACCAGCAGCUCCGCCGACAGUUAUUAGUGUUUCUCGGCGGAGCUGCACAGUUCCUGGUUCUGUGUCUUGAGCUCCGCGACCAGCUGACUGGUUGCCCCCGGGUCCGGCUCAGGAUCAGCUGGUGACGCUGAAGCUGGGGUCUGUGACUUCCUGCAGAUUGUCGUGAAGAAAGGGAGUUCAUAUGGAACUAGGGUUCUCGGGAAGGCGAACGGAUCCGAAGGGAGAGAAGAAGUCACACUUUUUCCCCUGCCUGGUGGAUCCCAGGAGGGUCUGAAUCCAGCAGUGCUGUUCUGUGAGCUAAGGCAGAGCAGCGCGGGCUCCGAGCUUGCUGCUGCUGCUGGCCUCAGGAAGGGUCCUGAUUUGGAGAAGGGUUUCCAGAAAAAGAUGCUUUGGCUGCCUGCCGUCCUGCUUGCCUUCUUAGGAGCCAGACCCAGGGGAAAAGUGAACUGGGGCAAUUGACAAGCUCAGAGGGUCUGGCGGAAGCUUCUAUCUAGACUGGGAAUUUCACUCUCCCUUGAGGAAGAUCUGCCUGCACUGCAAGUGCCCUCAGGAGGAGCACAUGGUGACGGUGAUGCCCCUGGCGAUGGAGAAGACAGUCAGCAAGCUCAUAUUUGACUUCCAGAGGAACUCGACCUCAGACGACGACUCGGGCUGUGCCCUGGAGGAGUACGCCUGGGUCCCGCCGGGCCUGAAGCCUGAACAGGUUCACCAGUACUACAGCUGUCUCCCAGAAGAGAAAGUCCCCUAUGUCAACAGUCCUGGAGAGAAACUUCGAAUCAAGCAACUAUUACACCAGCUGCCACCGCAUGACAAUGAGGUUCGCUACUGCAACUCCCUGGAUGAGGAAGAGAAAAGGGAGCUGAAGCUCUUCAGUAACCAGAGGAAACGUGAAAACCUGGGCCGCGGCAAUGUGAGGCCCUUCCCGGUCACCAUGACGGGAGCCAUCUGUGAACAGUGUGGAGGCCAGAUCAAUGGCGGGGACAUCGCUGUGUUUGCAUCACGCGCUGGCCACGGUGUCAGCUGGCACCCACCCUGCUUUAUCUGCACUGUCUGCAACGAGCUCCUGGUGGAUCUGAUCUACUUUUACCAGGAUGGGAAGAUCUACUGUGGCAGGCACCAUGCAGAGUGCCUGAAGCCGCGCUGCGCAGCCUGCGACGAGAUCAUCUUUGCAGACGAGUGCACAGAAGCUGAGGGGCGACACUGGCACAUGAAGCACUUCUGCUGCUUCGAGUGCGAGACGGUGCUGGGCGGCCAGCGCUACAUCAUGAAGGAGGGGAGGCCCUACUGCUGCCACUGCUUUGAGUCCUUGUAUGCGGAGUACUGCGACACCUGCGCCCAACACAUAGGAAUUGACCAAGGUCAGAUGACCUACGACGGCCAGCACUGGCAUGCCACCGAGGCUUGUUUCUGCUGCGCCCACUGCAAGAAGUCGCUGCUGGGGCGGCCCUUCCUCCCCAGACAGGGCCAGAUCUUCUGCUCACGCGCCUGCAGCGCCGGCGAGGACCCCAACGGCUCAGACUCCUCCGACUCCGCCUUCCAGAAUGCCCGGGCCAAAGAGUCCCGGCGCAGCGCCAAGAUUGGCAAGAACAAGGGCAAGACGGAGGAGCCGCUGCUCAACCAGCACAGCCAGCUGCAGGUGAGCUCCAACCGGCUGUCGGCCGACGUGGACCCCCUGUCGCUGCAGAUGGACCUGCUCAGCCUGUCCAGCCAGACGCCCAGCCUCAACCGGGACCCCAUCUGGAGGAGCCGGGACGAGCCAUUCCACUAUGGGAACAAGCUGGAGCAGAGCCAGCCACAGAGCCCCUUGCAGCUCCUCAGCCAGUGCAACAUCAGAACUUCCUACAGCCCCGGCGGGCAGGGGGCUGGAGCCCAGCCCGACGUGUGGGCCAAGCACUUCGGCAACCCGAAAAGGAGCUCGUCGCUGGCCAUGAAGGGCCACGGUGGCAGCUUCAUCAAGGAGUGCCGGGAGGACUACUACCCGGGCAGGCUGCGGUCCCAGGAGAGCUACAGCGACAUGUCCAGCCAGAGCUUCAGCGAAACCCGGGGCAGCAUCCCGGUCCCCAAGUACGAGGAAGAGGAGGAGGAGGAAGGGGGCCUGUCCGCUCAGCAGUGUCGGACCCGGCACCCCAUCAGCUCGCUGAAGUACACUGAGGAUAUGACGCCCACCGAGCAGACCCCGCGGGGCUCCAUGGAGUCGCUGGCGCUGUCUAACGCAACAGGCCUCUCCGCAGAUGGUGGCGCCAAGCGCCAGGAGCACCUCUCUCGGUUUUCCAUGCCCGAUCUCAGCAAAGACUCUGGGAUGAAUGUGUCCGAGAAGCUGAGCAACAUGGGCACGCUGAACUCGUCCAUGCAGUUCCGCAGCGCCGAGUCAGUUCGCAGCCUGCUGUCCGCCCAGCAGUACCAGGAGAUGGAGGGCAACCUCCACCCGCUCAGCACCCCGAUCAGAGUACCUCUUAACAUUUCCCCAGUGAGGCUUCGACCACCAUCAGCAGAAAGAAGAAAGUGCCCUAGACACGGACAACUAAGCAGUAUGCAAAGGGAUGGGAGGAAUAAGCAGUUUCAGAUCUAGCUGCCCAGGGAGCAUCCAUCAGCUGAACUGGUCAGAGCUGGAGGUAUGGUGAGAUACGAGUCUCGGGGUCAGACAGUGUAAAAAGCAAGAUUACCUCCAUCUUGUCCACCACUGCAGACGCCGCCUCCCCACCCCAGAUGCAAUCAGGCGCCCUAUGGAGAUUGCUGGUAGAGUCCAGGUAAAUCAUCACCGCAAGGAUAGAACCUUCAAGGGAAUGCCUGAGAGAGAGCAGGUCAUCACUGUGUUGGGAAUUCUGCCUCUUAGUGAUAACUUACACGUAACAUCCCAGAAUCCCAUUCCCUAAAAUUCAGCGCAUUCCUUUCUGAGGCCGGAUCCGAUCCUUACCUGAUCAUCACCAGGAGCUCUUACUUAGUCAAGCUUUCCUCCACGGCUGGGGCUUGCAGUCAUCUCUUCUUAGAUCAUCAUUUUCAUCUUAAAUAGACUGUGUUUAGAAAACUAUAUCUUUUCCCUCUUUAUUUUCUUCUCUCAUGCUUUGGUUUGGUUUUUCUUCCUACCUCUCCUCAUAGUGAUCUUCUUAUCUUUUGGAUAAAACCACACUUUAGCAUUCAUUUCGUUUCCUGUUGCUACUCAGUUCAUUGGCAACAAAACUGGCCCUUUCCCAAGUUAGAAGUCAGUGACAGUUUUCUGAAUGGCCCUGCCAGUGCAUAUCAACCUUGAUAGUAUGAGCAAGUCUCUUAGCAGGCUGGUGGCAUUCAGGUAGCCUUCCAUCUGUCAUAGAGUUCUGGGAUUUUUACCAAGUGUGAAGGUAAGUGAGGUCAGGGAAACCAAAAACAUACUUCUCAGUUUUUGCCAAUGUUCAAGGAUAAGGGUAGUUUUUAGAGUUGGUUGUUUGACCUCGUCCACCUAUAUUCACCUUCUGUUCACCCUCUGCCAGCCCCACAAACAAGCAGUUUGUCAUUUCUCACAUGGGAACUGCGGGUAGCUGUUUUUCUUCCCCUUGUCCCAUUCUAUAGGAUGUUUCUUCAAUACAACAAAAUCAUAUUUUCCUCUUCUGCAACAGCUUUCUGCUUCUUGGGUACCACUAGCCAUUGUUGAGUUCAGGUUGGGGUGUCUCUACCCUACCUCUACUGUGGGCAGAUAGAACCAGAUAGAAUCCUUCAGAGAGCAAGGAUGCAGCCUCAGAAAUCUUUGCAACACUCUGGCCAGCCAGGACCAGUUGAUCCGAACUGAUUUGAUUUGUCUGAUAACAAAUCUUACUUGUGAACUGACUCUUCCUUGUGUUUCUACCCUGGACUCUUUUGCCAUUUUCCCAAAACAGUUCACCAGCUAUUCAGGAAGCAUCAUCCAUAAAUCACUGUGCGAUGCCAAUCCCUGUGCCCCUGUAUUGCAGAUGCUAAAGGAGGCUGACUUCUUUAGGCUAAACAGAAACAAAUCUCUUUGGCCUCCUUUUCCAUUUUUGGAUUCUUGGCCAGUUAUAAGCAAUCUGUGUUUGCCGUUUUGCAGAGGUAAGAUAAGAGUCUGUCUCAUUCUUUUCUAGUCCCACCUUCUAACAAAGAACAACACAAAUACUUAAAUUCCAAGGAGAAGUGCUCUUUGCAUAUUUCUCUCUGACAGAAACCUAAUGCUAAUGCAUAAGAAGGAGGAUCUAUCUUUGACAAAGGAAAGUGGACGAUGAAAUCAGUCAUCUGAGGAUUUCAUGCCAGAAGUGUUGCUAUCAGCAACUGUUUAGCACCUUCAGGGCUUUGAAAAGGACUCUGCGGACAGCAUUACAGGAUCAUUUUGUCCAUCUUCUGCUUUAAUUCCAAGCGUGUAAACAAAACCUCAAAGGGCCUGAGAAGGUUUUUGGAAGUCUUUGCCUUUGAGCAUCUCAGCAAAAGAAUAGAGAAGCUGCAGAUGUCAGGAGAGGACCACGGUGGUCUUUUCAUCUGACUUCAUCAACUAUAUGAAUUCCAUCCAGUUGGUGGCCUCAGACCAGGUGCAAUCAACUGUGCUUAUUCUAAACAGGAUCCCAGUGGACAGAGGUUUGCAAAGGCAUAUAUUCAAAAGGUGAAAUUCAUCACCCAGCUCCCAAGCCUAGAACCCAGUUCUGCUGGGGAAAGUGAUGAGAUGUCAAAUGAGAACAGGAGGUCCCUCUGACAUGCUGCUUGAACUCCAGGCAGGACAUGGUUCCGUUAACUCUCCCAGUGGAACACCAUAUUGCUUCCUCUUGCUCUCCAACAGAGACGAUCUAGGAAAGGACAAGGACCAAUGGUGUGAAUUUUGAUGCCCAAAAGAUCUGUCCAAGUCUUACGUCCAAUACCUGUGAAUAUGACCUUCUCAGUAGAGGUCUUUGCAGAUAGAAUUAAGGAUCUCCAGAUGACAUCAUCUGAGAUUUAGAGCAAGCUCUAAAUCAGGUGACUAGUGUUCUUACAAGAGAAAGGAGAGAGACACACAGAUGGAGAAGACCCUGUGAAAAUGAAACAGAGAUGGGAAUAAGGUGGCCACAAGCCAAGGAAUUCCAGGAGCUGCCGGAAGCUGGAAGAUAUACGGAAGGAUCCUUUCAAGCUUGCAGAGGGAGCAUGGCCCUGCUAACACCUUGAUUUUGGACAUCUGGCCUCCAGAACUGCACUGGAAGGCAUGCAGAAGGGAACAGGUCCAACACAUGCCCUUGUCCUGACUAUGCAUAGAGUCUCGUGAGGAAGACUGGCCAUCAGAGAUGUUCACACACAUCAGCUAAGUGUGCUGAACCAAGGGAAG